rnacentral:rRNA from 1 species
GACGAACGCUGGCGGCGUGCCUAACACAUGCAAGUCGAGCGAAUGAAGUUCCUUCGGGAAUGGAUUUAGCGGCGGACGGGUGAGUAACACGUGGGCAACCUGCCUCAUAGAGGGGAAUAGCCUUCCGAAAGGGAGAUUAAUACCGCAUAAGAUUGUAGUACCGCAUGGUACAGCAAUUAAAGGAGAAAUCCGCGAUGAGAUGGGCCCGCGGCGCAGUAGCUAGUUGGUGAGGUAACGGCUCACCAAGGCGACGAUGCGUAGCCGACCUGAGAGGGUGAUCGGCCACAUUGGGACUGAGACACGGCCCAGACUCCUACGGGAGGCAGCAGUGGGGAAUAUUGCACAAUGGGGGAAACCCUGAUGCAGCAACGCCGCGUGAGUGAUGACGGCCUUCGGGUUGUAAAGCUCUGUCUUCAGGGACGAUAAUGACGGUACCUGAGGAGGAAGCCACGGCUAACUACGUGCCAGCAGCCGCCGCGGUAA